AUUGAACGCUGGCGGCAGGCUUAACACUUGCAAGUCGGGCGGAUGAAGGGUGCUUACUCCUGCAUUCAUCGGCGGACGGGUGAGUAAUGCCUAGGAAUCCGCCUGGUAGUGGGGGAUAACGUCCGGAAACCGGCGCUAAUACCGCAUCCGUACUCAGGGAGCAAGUGGGUGAUCUUCGGAACUCACGCUAUCCGAUGAGCCUAGGUCGGAUUAGCUAGUUGCUGGGGUAAAGGCCUACCAAGUCGACGAUCCGAAACUGAUCUCAGAGGAUGAUCAGCAACAGUAGAGCUGUGAGACGGUCCAUACUCCUACGGGAGGCAGCAGUGGGGAAUCUUGGACAAUGGUAGAAAGCCUGAUCCAGCCAUGCCGCGUUUGUUAAUAAAGUCAUAGGAUUGUAAAGCACUUUAAGUUGGGAGUAAGGGCAGUAAGUUAAAACCUAGCUAUUGGCACGAUACCAACACAUUCAGCACCGCCAAAACUCGUG
rnacentral:rRNA from 1 species